rnacentral:rRNA from 1 species
UACGUAGGGUGCGAGCGUUGUCCGGAAUUAUUGGGCGUAAAGAGCUCGUAGGCGGUCUGUCGCGUCGGCUGUGAAAACCCGAGGCUCAACCUCGGGCCUGCAGUCGAUACGGGCAAACUAGAGUACUGCAGGGGAGACUGGAAUUCCUGGUGUAGCGGUGAAAUGCGCAGAUAUCAGGAGGAACACCGGUGGCGAAGGCGGGUCUCUGGGCCGAUAUUGACGCUGAGGAGCGAAAGCGUGGGGAGCGAACAGG